AGGACAAACGCUGGCGGCGUACCUAAGACAUGCAAGUCGAACGGGCGCUUCACCUUCGGGUGGGUGUGCUAGUGGCGGACGGGUGAGUAACGCGUAGGAACCUGUCAUCAAGAGGGGGAUAACGCUGGGAAACCGGCGCUAAUACCGCAUGUGGUCAUGAAAAUGAAGAAAGCAGCAAUGCGCUUGAUGAGGGGCCUGCGUCCGAUUAGCUUGUUGGUGGGGUAAGGGCCUACCAAGGCAUCGAUCGGUAGCUGGUCUGAGAGGAUGGUCAGCCACACUGGGACUGAGACACGGCCCAGACUCCUACGGGAGGCAGCAGUUAGGAAAUUUUCCCAAUGGGCGCAAGCCUGAGGGAGUAACGCCGCGUGGAGGAUGACGGCUUUCGGGUUGUAAACUCCUUUUCUGUGGGAAGAGUAGAAGACGGUACCGCAGGAAUAAGCCUCGGCUAACUACGUGCCAGCAGCCGC
rnacentral:rRNA from 1 species